GGAUUCCUGGUGCUGCUGUGAUUUGCAACCACACGGAGCCUGUUGACAUCCUCCACAUCCUCUCCUUUCUCAGCUUAAGAGGGUCUCUCUCUGGGUCUUCUGAACUCAGUGUGACGAAUGAGGACUAUAAAAUGGAAGGAACGGGGGCAAUAAUCUCAUGCUGAUCAUGGGGCUUCUGUGUUCAUGGCAAGCAACGCUCUCAAAGGAUCGCCAGGUCAAGCUAAUACACAAGCCAUGGAUUUUGGUUUCUUGCUUUUCUUCUUCAAAUCUGUUGCUUUCCCCCUUAUUCUUGUGUCUUGUGUUGCUUUAAAAAUUAUUUAGGAUUUCGCAAAUAUAAAAUAAUUCAAUAGUUUUUCUACACAGAGAAAAUAAAUUGCCUAAAGUAAAACGCAUGAGAACCCAUUUACAAAAUAAACAAAAUAAGGACCUCAGCUUGAAUAACCUCAUUGAACUAUGCAAGUGAACUGUGGAAAAUAUCAUAAAACGUGGCUUUACUGGAAUUUUUAAAAUAAUACUCAAGUGUCAUGCAAUGAUUUAGUUCAGAAAGAGCAAUUAUUUUUAAGAGGACAAUUCUCUCAAAUUAUAUGUAUUUUAAAAAGAAGAACUUGUCCUGACAAGGCAAAGUAAAACAAGAAAACAAGGGGAAAAAAACCCUAAAAUAAUAUCGUUCUAAAACAUGCAUAAAUAAAUUGAAUACAAAUUAUUUUAAUAUGUACAAUCUCAUCAUUGUUGUUCUGUAGUGACUCACCUUCUGUAUAAAACUUAUCUAAAGCAGAUUCUGCAUUGUAUAUAUAAAAGGAAACAGCACAAAACAGGACAGGACUUGAAUUAUUUAAUAAAUGUGACUAGAAUAUUAUUUUUAUGAAAAAAUAUGUACUAACACUAUUCAUCAUAUAAUUCUAGGUGGGUUAGAGAGAUAAAGGAAAAAUCAAACCAUAAAAAGAGAAGGAAAUGUUGAUUAAUAUUUAUCUGAUUUCUAGAUGUGGAGAGCCUGCUGAGCUUAAAUAAAUGAAACCUGAUUUCAACCAUA
rnacentral:lncRNA from 1 species